rnacentral:lncRNA from 1 species
UGAAUCAAUCUACAAGCCAAAUCCAAAAAGCUAUCAAGACUCUGAGAUAGAUAGGACUCCAAUUUCUCUUCUAUAAAUAAAUGGAUACUGAGAUCCUCAAAGUAAGCUCUCAACUUCUUACUCUCUCUUUCUCAUUAUUUUUCAUCUUCUGAUUUGAGCGUCAGAGGGUCUUCACCGAAAAAUACCUCGGUGAAGACUUUUUACAGGUAUUCAAACAGAGCUCCAAUAGCAGUUUCACCUCGACCAUCUUUACUUUGGUGAUCCAACCUCAGACAGAG